rfam:Rhodanobacter sp. RIFOXYA1_FTLL_67_6 rifoxya1_full_scaffold_8526, whole genome shotgun sequence.
GCCGGCAUAGCUCAGUUGGUAGAGCAACUGAUUUGUAAUCAGUAGGUCGCGGGUUCGACUCCUGCUGCCGGCA